CUUCCCUCCUUAACACCAUCAGCGCAAAAUUACUGAUGCUGCUUAUUUCCUUCCACCAUGGAAAUCUCACCCAACACUCACGGUGGGUAAGUAACAAUUGCCUACUGCACUUAUGGAUUACAAGCACAUAAUAGUCAUAUAAACAUGCCAGGUAUCAAGCUUUAAAAAAUUAUGGUGACUAAUGUACAUGAAAAGCUAGAAAUUGUAUGAUCGGAGGCUCUCUUUAAUUCGAAGUCCUGGCAGAGCACCUCAGCUAGUGUUUUCUGAUCUCACUUGAAAGCUUAAUGCUUCAUUGAUCCUACUGAAAACAAGUCGAACCGGGAUGCACGCGAUAGUUGGCCCGCCAAUUUUCCGAACUACAGUAUUUCUCUUUGUGCUUUCUCUGCGGCUGCUGCCAAAAGAUGAGAGCCUGCGCAUUUUCCUUGGUGAAGAUGCUGAUUUCUUGGUAUGUGGCCGCCAGGACUUAUCCAUAUCAUGCUCCGAGACCUUUUUACGGCCACCAAGUUUUGAUUUAGAUGAAUGUGACGAUCUUGGCUGGCGCGGUUCUGCAACUUCGC
rnacentral:lncRNA from 1 species